GAUGAACGCUGGCGGCGUGCCUAAUACAUGCAAGUCGAGCGGACAGACGAGGAGCUUGCUCCUCUGACGUUAGCGGCGGACGGGUGAGUAACACGUGGAUAACCUACCUAUAAGACUGGGAUAACUUCGGGAAACCGGAGCUAAUACCGGAUAAUAUAUUGAACCGCAUGGUUCAAUAGUGAAAGACGGUUUUGCUGUCACUUAUAGAUGGAUCCGCGCCGCAUUAGCUAGUUGGUAAGGUAACGGCUUACCAAGGCAACGAUGCGUAGCCGACCUGAGAGGGUGAUCGGCCACACUGGAACUGAGACACGGUCCAGACUCCUACGGGAGGCAGCAGUAGGGAAUCUUCCGCAAUGGGCGAAAGCCUGACGGAGCAACGCCGCGUGAGUGAUGAAGGUCUUCGGAUCGUAAAACUCCGUUAUUAGGGAAGAACAAAUGUGUAAGUAACUAUGCACGUCUUGACGGUACCUAAUCAGAAAGCCACGGCUAACUACGUG
rnacentral:rRNA from 1 species